CCUACGGGUGGCAGCAGUGGGGGAUAUUGCACAAUGGGCGGAACCCUGAUGCAGCGACGCCGCGUGGGUGAAGAAGCGCCUCGGCGCGUAAAGCUCUGUCAGCAGGGAAGAAAAUGACGGUACCUGAAGAAGAAGCACCGGCUAACUACGUGCCAGCAGCCGCGGGAAUACGUAGGGGGCCAGCGUUAUCCGGAUUUACUGGGUGUAAAGGGGGCGCAGACGGCGAUGCAAGCCAGGAGUGAAAGCCCGGGGCCCAACCCCGGGACUGCUCUUGGAACUGCGUGGCUGGAGUGCAGGAGGGGCAGGCGGAAUUCCUGGUGUAGCGGUGAAAUGCGUAGAUAUCAGGAGGAACACCGGUGGCGAAGGCGGCCUGCUGGACUGCAACUGACGUUGAGGCCCGAAAGCGUGGGGAGCAAACAGGAUUAGAUACCCCAGUAGUC
rnacentral:rRNA from 1 species